CCUACGGGUGGCAGCAGUGGGGAAUAUUGGGCAAUGGGCGCAAGCCUGACCCAGCAACGCCGCGUGAAGGAAGAAGGCUUUCGGGUUGUAAACUUCUUUUCUCAGGGACGAAGUAAGUGACGGUACCUGAGGAAUAAGCCACGGCUAAAUACGUGCCAGCAGCCGCGGUAAUACGUAGGUGGCAAGCGUUAUCCGGAUUUACUGGGUGUAAAGGGCGGGUAGGCGGGACUGCAAGUCAGAUGUGAAAACCAUGGGCUCAACCCAUGGCCUGCAUUUGAAACUGUAGUUCUUGAGUGCUGGAGAGGCAGACGGAAUUCCUAGUGUAGCGGUGAAAUGCGUAGAUAUUGGGAGGAACACCAGUGGCGAAGGCGGUCUGCUGGACAGCAACUGACGCUGAGGCGCGAAAGCGUGGGGAGCAAACAGGAUUAGAUACCCCUGUAGUC
rnacentral:rRNA from 1 species